CACGCCGUAAACGAUGAAUGCUAGGUGUUGGGGGUCAAACCUCGGUGCCGAAGUUAACACAUUAAGCAUUCCGCCUGGGGAGUACGGUGGCAACACUGAAACUCAAAGGAAUUGACGGGG
rnacentral:rRNA from 1 species